AAAGGAAGAUUAAUACCCCAUAAUAUAUUGAAUGGCAUCAUUCGAUAUUGAAAACUCCGGUGGAUAGAGAUGGGCACGCGCAAGAUUACCAUAGUUGGUGAGGUAACGGCUCACCGAGUCUGCGAUCUUUAGCGGGGCCUGAGAGGGUGAUCCCCCACACUGGCACUGAGACACGGACCAGACUCCUACGCGGAGGCAGCAGUGAGGAAUAUUAGGACAAUGAGGUGACAGCCUGAUCCAGCCAUCCCGCGUGAAGGACGACGGCCCUAUGGGUUGUAAACUUCUUUUGUAUAUGGAUAAACCUACUCUCGUGAGAGUAGCUGAAGGUACUAUACGAAUAAGCACCGGCUAACUCCGUGCCAGCAGCCGCGGUAAUACCGAGGGUGCAAGCGUUAUCCGGAUUUAUUGGGUUUAAAGGGUCCGUAGGCGGAUUUGUAAUCCAGUGGUGAAAUCUCACAGCUUAGCUGUGAAACUGCCAUUGAUACUGCAAGUCUUGAGUGUUGUUGAAGUAUCUGGAGUAGAUAAUGUAACGGUGAAAUGCAUAGAUAUUACUUAGAACACCAAUUGCGAAGGCAGGUUACUAAGCGACAACUAGACGCUGAUGGACGAAAUGAGUGUGGAAGAGAACAAGGAUUAGGAUACCCCUGGUAGGUCCACGCCAGUAUACGAUGCUAACUCCGUUUUUGAAGCGCGAGCUUCAGAAGACUAAGCCGAA
rnacentral:rRNA from 1 species